rnacentral:rRNA from 1 species
AGAGUUUGAUCCUGGCUCAGAUUGAACGCUGGCGGCAGGCCUAACACAUGCAAGUCGAGCGGAAACGGCAGCAUUGAAGCUUCGGUGGAUUUGCUGGACGUCGAGCGGCGGACGGGUGAGUAACGGCUGGGAACCUGCCCUGACGCGGGGGAUAACCGUUGGAAACGACGGCUAAUACCGCAUAAUGUCUUAGUUCAUUACGAGCUGGGACCAAAGGUGGCCUCUACAUGUAAGCUAUCGCGUUGGGAUGGGCCCAGUUAGGAUUAGCUAGUUGGUAAGGUAAUGGCUUACCAAGGCAACGAUCCUUAGCUGGUUUGAGAGGAUGAUCAGCCACACUGGGACUGAGACACGGCCCAGACUCCUACGGGAGGCAGCAGUGGGGAAUAUUGCACAAUGGGGGAGACCCUGAUGCAACCAUGCCGCGUGUGUGAAGAAGGCCUUCGGGUUGUAAAGCACUUUCAGCAGUGAGGAAGGUGGUGUACUUAAUACGUGCAUGGCUUGACGUUAGCUGCAGAAGAAGCACCGGCUAACUCCGUGCCAGCAGCCGCGGUAAUACGGAGGGUGCGAGCGUUAAUCGGAAUUACUGGGCGUAAAGCGCAUGCAGGCGGUUUGUUAAGUCAGAUGUGAAAGCCCGGGGCUCAACCUCGGAACCGCAUUUGAAACUGGCAGGCUAGAGUCUUGUAGAGGGGGGUAGAAUUUCAGGUGUAGCGGUGAAAUGCGUAGAGAUCUGAAGGAAUACCAGUGGCGAAGGCGGCCCCCUGGACAAAGACUGACGCUCAGAUGCGAAAGCGUGGGUAGCAAAC